rnacentral:rRNA from 1 species
AGCAGCCGCGGUAAUUCCAGCUCCAAUAGCGUAUAUUAAAGUUGUUGCAGUUAAAAAGCUCGUAGUUGAAUUUCGGGGUUAGUAGGUCGGUCGUGCCACCGGUAUGUACUGGCUCUACUGAUCCCUCCUUCUUGUAGAACCGUAAUGCCAUUAACUUGGUGUUGCGGGGAAACAGGACUGUUACUUUGAAAAAAUUAGAGUGUUUAAAGCAGGCUAACGCUUGAAUACAUUAGCAUGGAAUAAUGAAAUAGGACGCUCGAUCCUAUUUUGUUGGUUUCUAGGAUUGACGUAAUGAUUAAUAGGGAUAGUUGGGGGCAUUAGUAUUCAAUUGUCAGAGGUGAAAUUCUUGGAUUUAUUGAAGACUAACUACUGCGAAAGCAUUUGCCAAGGAUGUUUUCAUUAAUCAAGAACGAAAGUUAGGGGAUCGAAGACGAUCAGAUACCGUCGUAGUCUUAACCAUAAACUAUGCCGACUAGGGAUCGGAUGAUGUUAAUUUUUUAAUGACUCAUUCGGCGCCUUACGGGAAACCAAAGGUU